AUUGAACGCUGGCGGGAUGCUUUACACAUGCAAGUCGAACGAUGAACCUUAGCUUGCUAAGGGGGUUAGUGGCGAACGGGUGAGUAAUGUAUCGGAACGUAUCCAAUAAUGGGGGAUAACUAGUCGAAAGAUUAGCUAAUACCGCAUACGUCCUACGGGAGAAAGCUAGGGACCUUCGGGCCUGGCGUUAAUGGAGCGGCCGAUAUCUGAUUAGCUAGUUGGUGGGGUAAAGGCUCACCAAGGCGACGAUCAGUAGCUGGUCUGAGAGGACGACCAGCCACACUGGAACUGAGACACGGUCCAGACUCCUACGGGAGGAAGCAGUGGGGAAUUUUGGACAAUGGGCGAAAGCCUGAUCCAGCCAUUCCGCGUGAGUGAAGAAGGCCUUCGGGUUGUAAAGCUCUUUCGCAAGGGAAGAAAACUUAAGCUCUAACAUAGCUUGAGGUUGACGGUACCUUGAUAAGAAGCACCGGCUAACUACGUGCCAGCCGCCGCGGUAA
rnacentral:rRNA from 1 species